CCGGGAAAGCAUAUGUAUUUAAAGCGGCUGCCGUGCCGCGUGAGUGAUGAAGGCCUUCGGGUUGUAAAGCUCUUUUGUCCGGGAAGAUAACGACUGUACCGUACGAGAAGCCCCGGAUAGCUUCGUGCCAGCAACCGCGGUUUAUAUAGCC
rnacentral:rRNA from 1 species